UACGGAGGGUGCAAGCGUUAUCCGGAUUCACUGGGUUUAAAGGGUGCGUAGGGGGGCAGGUAAGUCAGUGGUGAAAUCUCCGAGCUUAACUCGGAAACUGCCGUUGAUACUAUCUGUCUUGAAUCCCGUGGAGAUGAGCGGAAUAUGUCAUGUAGCGGUGAAAUGCUUAGAUAUGACAUAGAACACCAAUUGCGAAGGCAGCUCGUUACACGAAGAUUGACUCUGAGGCACGAAAGCGUGGGGAUCAAACAGG
rnacentral:rRNA from 1 species